ACCGGCAAACGGGUGCGGAACAUGUACACAACCUUCCUAUAAGUGGGGAAUAGCCCAGAGAAAUUUGGAUUAAUACCCCGUAACAUAACGAUGUGGCAUCACAUUGUUAUUAUAGCUUCGGCGCUUAUUGAUGGGUGUGCGGCUGAUUAGAUAGUUGGCGGGGUAACGGCCCACCAAGUCUACGAUCAGUAGCUGAUGUGAGAGCAUGAUCAGCCACACGGGCACUGAGACACGGGCCCGACUCCUACGGGAGGCAGCAGUAAGGAAUAUUGGUCAAUGGACGCAAGUCUGAACCAGCCAUGCCGCGUGAAGGAUUAAGGUCCUCUGGAUUGUAAACUUCUUUUAUCUGGGACGAAAAAAGGCUUUUCUAAGUCACUUGACGGUACCAGAUGAAUAAGCACCGGCUAACUCCGUGCCAGCAGCCGCGGUAAUACGGAGGGUGCAAGCGUUAUCCGGAUUCACUGGGUUUAAAGGGUGCGUAGGCGGGCAGGUAAGUCAGUGGUGAAAUCCUGGAGCUUAACUCCAGAACUGCCAUUGAUACUAUCUGUCUUGAAUAUUGUGGAGGUAAGCGGAAUAUGUCAUGUAGCGGUGAAAUGCUUAGAUAUGACAUAGAACACCUAUUGCGAAGGCAGCUUACUACGCAUAUAUUGACGCUGAGGCACGAAAGCGUGGGGAUCAAACAGGAUUAGAUACCCUGGUAGUCCACGCCCUAAACGAUGGAUACUCGACAUACGCG
rnacentral:rRNA from 1 species